CCCCCAUCCCCCAUCCCCCAUGGCAGGAGAAACAGUCAAGUUUUUCCUGCCCAUCACUCAAUGGCUCAAUCGCAUCGCUCUCCCGGCAACACCGUAACAAGGAGCAACUUGCCGUUUGGAUAUAUCCUAGCUGUGUUUGUGGCCUCACUCAUGGUCCAGACUUUUUUCAAAUAGGACAUGUAGUUUGUCUGCAGCGAGUGUUUUGGUAGAAACUGCGCCUCCCAUUCAUUAUAAUGGGAAAUGACCACAGACAAGUGCGCACACCAUCUUUGGACCUUGAGUGUGACGCGAUCGGGAGGGGGAGGCGGUCGAACUGGGGGCGGCGCAACGCGGCUCGGGCCCGCCAGUGCCCCAACGGGGCCCUAGUUCCUGAUGGAUUCUUCUUUCGUUAUUUUUCCUCCGCUUUAAACUGGAAAAUGGCCCACUUCCCACUGGCGAAAACUCAGGAAAUUUGGCAGGACGACCGGGCCUGGUGAAAAAUUUGAUAUUCUGAAGUCGCCCAAACAAAAAAAUGAAAAAUGGCUGCAUAGCGCCCCCUAUGGUGAAAACUCACCUGACGCCUGUACACUUUGUCAAAAUGACACAAAAUUUGACACACAUGUGUAUCUCAAUAAGAUCUACAAAAAAGUCAGUGCAGGCAUAUCUGUCAAAUGUACCGUUAAAGGGCUAUUUCGCAUUUUUUGCCGAUCCGCACACAUUGGAAUUUCGCUAACUCCUCCGAAGGCUUUCGUUCCACCGGCACCACAUUUGCUCAGGCCAAUCUACACCCCAUGGCCAUUAAAAGUUGUACAAAUCAUGAUGCUGCACCCCACGGUUUACGUUCUAGGGGGCGCCAAAGAUAACCCAAAAAUCCACAUUCUUAAAAGUCUUAUAACUUUUUAUUUUUGUCCUCACUGGCCUCCAAGUUUUCUAGGAUGAUGCCAUGUCAAGCCAUCAACACAUUUGUGAAGGAAUUUUUACUCCCCAAAAGAGCGCCCCCCCAUGGCAGGAGAAAAAAGUCAAGUUUUUCUUGUCCCCUAACAUGAAAAUACACAUUGUUGAGUGUCACGCCUAAACGCUUUGUCAUAUUGACAAAAAAUUUGACAAUCACGUGUAUCUCAAUAAGAUCUACAAAAAAGUCAUAGAGCGCGUAUCUGUAUAAUGUACGGUUAAAGGGCUAUUUUGCAUUUUUUGCCGAUCCGCACACAUUGGAAUUUCGCUAACUCCUCCGAAGGCUUUCGUUCCACCGGCACCAAAUUUGCUCAGGCCAAUCUACACCCCAUGGCCAUUAAAAGUUGUACAAAUCAUGACGCUGCAACCCACGGUGAAGGUUCUAGGGGGCGCCAAAGAUAACCCUAAAAUCCACAUAUUUAAAAGUCUUAUAACUUCUUAUUUUUGUCCUCACUGGCCUCCAGGUUUUCUAGGAUGAUGCAAUGUCCAGCCAUCAACACAUUUGUGAAGGAAUUUUUACUCCCCAAAAGAGCGCCCCCCCAUGGCAGGAGAAAAAAGUCCAUUUUUUCUUGUCCCCUAAGGUGAAAAUACAUAUUGUUGAGAUUCACGCCUAUACGCUUUGUCAUAUUGACACAAAAUUUGACAAUCACGUGUAUCUCAAUAAGAUCUACGAAAAAGUCAAUGGGCGUGUAUCUGUCAAAUGUACGGUUAAAGGGCUAUUUUGCAUUUUUUGCCGAUUCGCACACAUUGGAAUGUGGCUAACUCCUCCUAAGGCUUUCCUCCCACUGACACCAAAUUUGCUCAGGCCAAUCUAGACCCCAUGGCCAUUCAAAGUUGUAAAAAUCAUGACGCUGCACCCUACGGCUCACGUUCUAGGGGGCGCCAAAGAUGACCCAAAUAUCCACAUUCUUAAAAGAAUCCACAUCCCCCCCCCAUCCCCCAUCCCCCAUGGCAGGAGAAACAGUCAAGUUUUUCCUGCCCAUCACUCAAUGGCUCAAUCGCAUCGCUCUCCCGGCAACACCGUAACAAGGAGCAACUUGCCGUUUGGAUAUAUCCUAGCUGUGUUUGUGGCCUCACUCAUGGUCCAGACUUUUUUCAAAUAGGACAUGUAGUUUGUCUGCAGCGAGUGUUUUGGUAGAAACUGCGCCUCCCAUUCAUUAUAAUGGGAAAUGACCACAGACAAGUGCGCACACCAUCUUUGGACCUUGAGUGUGACGCGAUCGGGAGGGGGAGGCGGUCGAACUGGGGGCGGCGCAACGCGGCUCGGGCCCGCCAGUGCCCCAACGGGGCCCUAGUUCCUGAUGGAUUCUUCUUUCGUUAUUUUUCCUCCGCUUUAAACUGGAAAAUGGCCCACUUCCCACUGGCGAAAACUCAGGAAAUUUGGCAGGACGACCGGGCCUGGUGAAAAAUUUGAUAUUCUGAAGUCGCCCAAACAAAAAAAUGAAAAAUGGCUGCAUAGCGCCCCCUAUGGUGAAAACUCACCUGACGCCUGUACACUUUGUCAAAAUGACACAAAAUUUGACACACAUGUGUAUCUCAAUAAGAUCUACAAAAAAGUCAGUGCAGUUAUAUCUGUCAAAUGUACCGUUAAAGGGCUAUUUCGCAUUUUUUGCCGAUCCGCACACAUUGGAAUUUCGCUAACUCCUCCGAAGGCUUUCGUUCCACCGGCACCACAUUUGCUCAGGCCAAUCUACACCCCAUGGCCAUUAAAAGUUGUACAAAUCAUGAUGCUGCACCCCACGGUUUACGUUCUAGGGGGCGCCAAAGAUAACCCAAAAAUCCACAUUCUUAAAAGUCUUAUAACUUUUUAUUUUUGUCCUCACUGGCCUCCAAGUUUUCUAGGAUGAUGCCAUGUCAAGCCAUCAACACAUUUGUGAAGGAAUUUUUACUCCCCAAAAGAGCGCCCCCCAUGGCAGGAGAAAAAAGUCAAGUUUUUCUUGUCCCCUAACAUGAAAAUACACAUUGUUGAGUGUCACGCCUAAACGCUUUGUCAUAUUGACAAAAAAUUUGACAAUCACGUGUAUCUCAAUAAGAUCUACAAAAAAGUCAUAGAGCGCGUAUCUGUAUAAUGUACGGUUAAAGGGCUAUUUUGCAUUUUUUGCCGAUCCGCACACAUUGGAAUUUCGCUAACUCCUCCGAAGGCUUUCGUUCCACCGGCACCAAAUUUGCUCAGGCCAAUCUACACCCCAUGGCCAUUAAAAGUUGUACAAAUCAUGACGCUGCAACCCACGGUGAAGGUUCUAGGGGGCGCCAAAGAUAACCCUAAAAUCCACAUAUUUAAAAGUCUUAUAACUUCUUAUUUUUGUCCUCACUGGCCUCCAGGUUUUCUAGGAUGAUGCAAUGUCCAGCCAUCAACACAUUUGUGAAGGAAUUUUUACUCCCCAAAAGAGCGCCCCCCAUGGCAGGAGAAAAAAGUCCAUUUUUUCUUGUCCCCUAAGGUGAAAAUACAUAUUGUUGAGAUUCACGCCUAUACGCUUUGUCAUAUUGACACAAAAUUUGACAAUCACGUGUAUCUCAAUAAGAUCUACGAAAAAGUCAAUGGGCGUGUAUCUGUCAAAUGUACGGUUAAAGGGCUAUUUUGCAUUUUUUGCCGAUUCGCACACAUUGGAAUGUGGCUAACUCCUCCUAAGGCUUUCCUCCCACUGACACCAAAUUUGCUCAGGCCAAUCUAGACCCCAUGGCCAUUCAAAGUUGUAAAAAUCAUGACGCUGCACCCUACGGCUCACGUUCUAGGGGGCGCCAAAGAUGACCCAAAUAUCCACAUUCUUAAAAGAAUCCACAUCCCCCCCCAUCCCCCAUCCCCCAUGGCAGGAGAAACAGUCAAGUUUUUCCUGCCCAUCACUCAAUGGCUCAAUCGCAUCGCUCUCCCGGCAACACCGUAACAAGGAGCAACUUGCCGUUUGGAUAUAUCCUAGCUGUGUUUGUGGCCUCACUCAUGGUCCAGACUUUUUUCAAAUAGGACAUGUAGUUUGUCUGCAGCGAGUGUUUUGGUAGAAACUGCGCCUCCCAUUCAUUAUAAUGGGAAAUGACCACAGACAAGUGCGCACACCAUCUUUGGACCUUGAGUGUGACGCGAUCGGGAGGGGGAGGCGGUCGAACUGGGGGCGGCGCAACGCGGCUCGGGCCCGCCAGUGCCCCAACGGGGCCCUAGUUAGGGCCCGAGCCAGCUGCAGAGCAGCCGGGCGUAGGCCCUAUUAUUCCCCAAGUGGUUUUUCUUUGUUUCUUUCUUUCUUUAGGACCCGAGCGUAGCUGCUAAGCAGCUGCGAGAGCCCUAUUAUUCCCCAAGUGGUUUUUCUUUGUUUCUUUCUUUCUUUUUUCUUUUUCCUCCCCUUUGAACUGGAAAAUGGCCCACUUCCCACUGGCGAAAACUCAUGAAAUUUGGCAGGACGACCGGGCCUGGUGAAAAAUUCGAUAUUCUGAAGUCGCCCAAACAAUAAAAUGCAAAAUGGCUCCAUAGCGCCCCCUAAGGUGGAAAUUCACACUAUUGACUGUCACGCCUGUACGCUUUGUCAUAUUGACACAAAAAUUGACACACAUAUGUAUCUCAAUAAGAUCUACAAAAAAGUCAGUGCGGCCGUAUCUGUCAAAAUUACGGUUAAAGGGUUAUUUCGCAUUUUUUGCCGAUCCGCACACAUUGGAAUUUCGCUAACUCCUCCGAAGGCUUUCGUUCCACCGGCACCACAUUUGCUCAGGCCAAUCUACACCCCGUGGCCAUUAAAAGUUAUCAAAAUCAUGACGCUGCACCCCAAGGUUUAGGUUCUAGGGGGCGCCAAAGAUAACACUAAAAUCCACAUAUUUAAAAGUCUUAUAACUUUUUAUUUUUGUCCUCACUGGCCUCCAAGUUUUCUAGGAUGAUGCAAUGUACAGCCAUCAACACAUUUGUGAAGGAAUUUUUACUCCCCAAAAGAGCGCCCCCCCAUGGCAGGAGAAAAAAGUCCAUUUUUUCUUGUCCCCUAAGGUGAAAAUACACAUUGUUGAGUGUCACGCCUAUACGCUUUGUCAAAAUGACACAAAAAUUGACACACACAUGUAACUCAAUAAGAUCUACGAAAAAGUCAAUGCGCGCGUAUCUGUCAAAUGUACGGUUAAAGGGUUAUUCCGCAUUUUUUGCCGAUCCGCACACAUUGGAAUGUGGCUAACUCCUCCUAAGGCUUUCGUUCCACCGGCACCACAUUUUCUCAGGCCAAUCUACACCCCAUGGCCAUUAAAAGUUAUUCAAAUCAUGACGCUGCACCCCACGGUUUAGGUUCUAGGGGGCGCCAAAGAUAACCCUAAAAUCCACAUAUUUAAAAGUCUUAUAACUUUUUAUUUUUGUCCUCACUGGCCUCCAAGUUUUCUAGGAUGAUGCAAUGUCCAGCCAUCAACACAUUUGUGAAGGAAUUUUUACUCCCCAAAAGAGUGCCCCCCCAUGGCAGGAGAAAAAAGUCCAUUUUUUCUUGUCCCCUAAGGUGAAAAUUCACACUAUUGACUGUCACGCCUGUACGCUUUGUCAAAAUGACACAAAAAUUGACACACACAUGUAUCUCAAUAAGAUCUACAAAAAAGUUUAUGCGCGCGUAUCUGUCAAAUGUACGGUUAAAGGGUUAUUUUGCAUUUUUUGCCGAUCCGCACACAUUGGAAUUUCGCUAACUCCUCCGAAGGCUUUCGUUCCACCGGCACCACAUUUGCUCAGGCCAAUCUACACCCCAUGGCCAUUAAAAGUUAUUCAAAUCAUGACGCUGCACCCCACGGUUUACGUUCUAGGGGGCGCCAAAGAUAACCCAAAAAUCCACAUUUUUCAAAGUCUUAUAACUUUUUAUUUUUGUCCUCACUGGCCUCCAAGUUUUCUAGGAUGAUGCAAUGUCCAGCCAUCAACACAUUUGUGAAGGAAUUUUUACUCCCCAAAAGAGCGCCCCCCCAUGGCAGGAGAAAAAAGUCCAUUUUUUCUUGUCCCCUAAGGUGAAAAUACACAUUGUUGACUGUCACGCCUGUACGCUUUGGCAAAAUGACACAAAAAUUGACAAUCAUGUGUAUCUCAAUUAGAUCUACGAAAAAGUCAAAGAGCGCGUAUCUGUAUAAUGUACGGUAAAAGGGCUAUUUUGCAUUUUUUGCCGAUUCGCACACAUUGGAAUUUCGCUAACUCCUCCUAAGGCUUUCGUCCCACUGACACCAAAUUUGCUCAGGCCAAUCUACACUCCAUGGCCAUUCAAAGUUGUAAAAAUCAUGACGCUGCACCCCACAGUUUACGUUUUAGGGAGCGCCAAAGAUGACCCAAAUAUACAUUACAGUAGACAAAGUAGUUUUGCCCACUGAGUGGCGCCAAAGGGACUUGUCUGUGGAGUCUGUGAGUCACUAUUGGCCGUUUUUGACUACUUUAGAUUUUACCUUUAUAUUUCUAUAUUUUUACCUUGCCUUGCCUGGUAUCAUUUUUUUCAGCACAACCUCACCUGUGUCAAUUUACAGUUAUUUUAUCAUUUUGACAUACUAUAUUUACACAUUGGACCCAAAUUCACACACAAAACAUAAAAUCCGAGUGGAAAAAAGUAACGUUUUUACUGUGAAAACCACAAAUAUGUGUGAUGAACUGUUUUUAAAACUUAAACUUCAAAUAAAAAUUGUAAACUUCAAAACAUAUGCAAAUUUUUAACAAAGAACAUAGUAAUUUACCUCUAUUUACAUCAAAAUGCAGGCAAUGGCCCAGGUGUUCUUUGUAAAAUUAUUUACAAAACACUGUAUAGUCUCACAAAUGUCACUUUUUUUUAUGCCACUACAAAAAAACAUGAUGUAAAUGAUGCAUGAUGUAAAACAUGAUGUAAAAAACUUGUGUAGAUCCUCCUCUAUGUUAGUCCAUGUGUAAUUUUUCCAUAAUUCUUUGUUUUUUGCAGCAUUUUUGUUAUUGUAACUGCAGAUUGUGCUGACAGUGUCUAUGGCACACACAAAAAAAAAACUGAAAAUGCCUCAACAUGAACCCCUGGUGGUCUCUGAGGGUGAACCUGCUAACUGCUGCAGCUCUGUCAGCUUCAGUCUCCCAUGCAGAGCUCUGAGCGCAUGUGUGGCUCUGCACCCUUAGCAGCGUUGCUAACUCCUCAGUAAGGAAAGCCUGCUUCAUGUCAGAGUCUCUAAACUCCAGAAGAAGUCGAUAAAAGUCACUUUCUUUCUAAAAAAAAAGUCGUUAGGGGGUCUGAAAAGUAAUUGAAUCUAACAACAAAGUCGCUAGGUUUGCAACUACGUGUCCCAGACUGCAUCCCUGCUGAGAGUCCCUCCCUCCCUUCUCAUAUUGCAGGAAGAACGUAAGCGCCCGCCCCUUGUCAAUCAGUCACCAUAUAAUUUUGGAUUGGUUGUUGUGGUGAAGUUUUCCACCAAUAGGAGAGAUGUUGUGGUGUGUUUUUUUUUUCCUUUGGCAAGCCUUUUUCCGCCUGUAAGACCUGUCGCUAAUGUCUGCAUGCUAUGUUUUCCUGUCUCAUACAGCGCGAUCGAGCGCCGAACGUGAUCAAAAUAAGCAGAAAACAAGUAUCGCGGACAUAAUUUAUCAUAACUCUGGUUUUAUUUGGCCUAUCAACACAAUUUAAAAACUGGUAUAUAGGUUGAGGUCCUCACUUUUGAGAUAAGUUGAAACGGAGUCAACGAGGCUCCGUCUUGCAGCUACAUCCGGUUAAAUAUGUCAUGUGACUUGAACGCACACACACACACACACACACACACACACACACAGACACACACACACACGCACACACACACACACACACACUCAGAGUCUGGUUUUUAGCACCUGCAAAAACAUGCUAUUUACAUAUUUGACAAGAAUGCAGAGGCUCCUUUUGCCCCUGAAAGAAAUCAAAUUUCAAACAUAACUUGACUGGUCAUUUCUCCAAAAGACAACCAUGAAGCUCCAUCCAAACCUGAAGCAGGCAGUUGGUGCAUGUGUACAGUAACCUGAGGGGAGUGAGGUGACUGCUUCUGAGGAGAACAUGAGCAGUGAAGAUUCACCUUGGAGCUAGAACAGAGACGUGCACAUGAUUAUACAGGGGCAGGGGCUCAAGAGGCUGGCUGUGGCAAGUGUAAGUGAAAGCAACACGCACUGGCAGGAAGAACAGCAAACGCCGAUGAAGGAAAAGGGUCUUUUCAGUGAUGGGCGUUACCAGAGAGGGCGAUGGCCAGAGGACACAAAUGGGACGGGGAGGCAGCGCGUUGGGGGGGGGACGCGACACAGCUCGGGCCCGCCAGUGCCCCAACGGGGUCCUAGUUAGGGCCCGAGCGUAGCUGCUAAGCAGCUGCGAGAGCCCUCUUGUUCCUGUAGUUUCCUUCUUUAGGGCCCGAGCCAGCUGCAGAGCAGCCGCGCGUAGGCCCUAUUAUUCCCCAAGUGGUUUUUUAGGGCCCGAGCGUAGCUGCUAAGCAGCUGCGAGAGCCCUCUUGUUCCUGCAUGUUUCCUUCUUUCGUUAUUAUUUUUCCUCCGCUUUAAACUGGAAAAUGGCCCACUUCCCACUGGCGAAAACUCAGGAAAUUUGGCAGGACGACCGGGCCUGGUGAAAAAUUCGAUAUUCUGAAGUCGCCCAAACAAUAAAAUGCAAAAUGGCUCCAUAGCGCCCCCUAAGGUGAAAAUUCACAUGACGGCUGUACGCUUUGUCAUAUUGACACAAAAAUUGACACACACAUGUAUCUCAAUAAGAUCUACAAAAAAGUCAGUGCGGGCGUAUCUGUCAAAUGUAUGGUUAAUGGGUUAUUUUGCAUUUUUUGCAGAUCUGCACACAUUGGAAUUUCGCUAACUCCUCCGAAGGCUUUCAUUCGACCGGCACCACAUUUGCGCAGGCCAAUCUACCCCCCAUGGCCAUUAAAAGUUGUACAAAUCAUGACGCUGCACCCCACGGUUUACGUUCUAGGGGGCGCCAAAGAUAACCCAAAAUCCACAUUCUUAAAAGUCUUAUAACUUUUUAUUUUUGUCCUCACUGCCCUCCAAGUUUUCUAGGAUGAUGCAAUGUCCAGCCAUCAACACAUUUGUGAAGGAAUUUUUACUCCCCAAAAGAGCGCCCCCCCAUGGCAGGAGAAAAAAGUCAAUUUUUUCUUGUCCCCUUACAUGAAAAUACACAUUGUUGAGUGUCACGCCUGAACGCUUUGUCAUAUUGACACAAAAAUUGACAAUCAUGUGUAUCUCAAUUAGAUCUACGAAAAAGUCAAAAAGCGCGUAUCUGUAUAAUGUACGGUUAAAGGGCUAUUUCGCAUUUUUUGCCGAUUCGCACACAUUGGAAUGUGGCUAUCUCCUCCUAAGGCUUUCGUCCCACCGAUACCAAAUUUGCUCAGGGCAAUCUACACCCCAUGCCCAUUCAAAGUUGUAAAAAUCAUGACGCUGCACCCCACGGUUUACGUUCUAGGGGGCGCCAAAGAUGACCCAAAAAUCCACAUUCUUAAAAGUCAUUUUGGCCACUGCAGGAGUACAGAGUACUGCAGUUCUAGGGGGCGCCAAAGAUGACCCAAAAAUCCACAUUCUUAAAAGUCUUUUUGGCCACUGCAGGAGUACAGAGUACUGCAGGAUACACACACAUACACACACACACACACACACACACACACACACACACACACACACACACUCAGAGUCUGUUUUUUAGCACCUGCAAAAACAUGCUGUUUACAUAUUUGACAAGAAUGCAGAGGCUUCCUUUUGCCCCUGAAAAAAAUCAGAUUUCAAACACAACUUGACUGUUCAUUUCUCCAAAAGACAACCAUGAAGCUCCAUCCAAACCUGAAGCAGAUAGUUGGUGCAUGUGUACAGUAACCUGAGGGGAGUGAGGUGACUAUUUCUGAGGAGAACAUGAGCAGUGAAGAUUCACCUUGGAGCUAGAACAGGGACGUGCACAUGAUUAUACAGGGGCAGGGGCUCAAGUUUUUUCCAGUCAUUUAUACAAUAUGGAAAUUAAUGUGAAAUUAAACCACAAAUAUGUGUGAUGAACUGUUUUUAAAACUUAAACUUCAAAUAAAAAUUGUAAACUUCAAAACAUAUGCAAAUUUUUAACAAAGAACAUAGUAAUUUACCUCUAUUUACAUCAAAAUGCAGGCAAUGGCCCAGGCGUUCUUUGUAAAAUUAUUUACAAAACACUGUAUAGUCUCACAAAUGUCACUUUUUAUUUAUGCCACUACAAAAAAACAUGAUGUAAAUGAUGCAUGAUGUAAAACAUGAUGUAAAAAACUUGUGUAGAUCCUCCUCUAUGUCAGUCCAUGUGUAAUUUUUCCAUAAUUCUUUGUUUUUUGCAGCAUUUUUGUUAGUGUAACUGCAGAUUGUGCUGACAGUCUAUGGCAAAAAAAACAAAAACUGAAAAUGCCUCAACAUGAACCCCUGGUGGUCUCUGAGGGUGAAACCUGCUAACUGCUGCAGCUCUGUCAGCUUCAGUCUCCCAUGCAGAGCUCCGAGCGCAUGUGUGGCUCUGCACCCUUAGCAGCGUUGCUAACUCCUCAGUAAGGAAAGCCUGCUUCAUGUCAGAGUCUCUAAACUCCAGAAGAAGUCGAUAAAAGUCCCUUUCUUUCUAAAAAAAAGUCGUUAGGGGGUCUGAAAAGUCAUUGAAUCUAACAACAAAGUCGCUAGGUUUGCAACUACGUGUCCCAGACUGCAUCCCUGCUGAGAGUCCCUCCCUCCCUUCUCAUGUUGCAGGAAGAACGUAAGCGCCCGCCCCUUGUCAUUCAGUCACCAUAUAAUUUUGGAUUGGUUGUUGUGGUGAAGUUUUCCACCAAUAGGAGAGAUGUUGUGGUGUGUUUUUUUUUUCUUUUGGCAAGCCUUUUCCGCCUGUAAGACCUGUCGCUAAUGUGUGCAUGCUAUGUUUUCCUGUCUCAUACAGCGCGAUCGAGCGCCGAACGUGAUCAAAAUAAGCAGAAAAAAAGUAUCGCGGACAUAAUUUAUCAUAACUCUGGUUUUAUUUGGCCUAUCAACACAAUUUAAAAACUGGUAUAUAGGUUGAGGUCCUCACUUUUGAGAUAAGUUGAAACGGAGAGUUAACGAGGCUCCGUCUUGCAGCUACAUCCGGUUAAAUAUGUCAUGUGACUUGAACGCUGGGGAGCGUCAAUCGAAUCGAAUCAAACCUAACUCUCAGAUGAAUCUUCAAAAUUCACCUCAGAAAUAUGCUUAUUAUUCUUCUCAGAGUACUGCAGGAUACACACACACACACACACACACACACACACACACACACACAGACACACACACACACUCAGAGUCUGUUUUUUAGCACCUGCAAAAACAUGCUAUUUACAUAUUUGACAAGAAUGCAGAGGCUUCCUUUUGCCCCUGAAAAAAAUCAAAUUUCAAACACAACUUGACUGCUCAUUUCUCCAAAAGACAACCAUGAAGCUCCAUCCAAACCUGAAGCAGGCAGUUGGUGCAUGUGUACAGUAACCUGAGGGGAGUGAGGUGACUGCUUCUGAGGAGAACAUGAGCAGUGAAGAUUCACCUUGGAGCUAGAACAGGGACGUGCACAUGAUAAUACAGGGGCAGGGGCUCAAGUUUUUUCCAGUCGUUUAUACAAUAUGGAAAUUAAUGUGAAAUUAAAAAACAAAGUAUGACUGUCCUGUGUAGGUGACAGUGAUAUCCAAUAGGCUAGGCACUCACGAGGCUGGCUGUGGCAAGUGUAUGUGAAAGCAACACGCACUGGCAGGAAGAACAGCAAACGCCGAUGAAGGAAAAGGGUCUUUGCUGUGAUGGGCGUUACCAGAGAGGGCGAUGGCCAGAGGACACGAAUGGGACGGGGAGGCAGCGCGUUGGGGGGGGGGUGGCGACACGGCUCGGGCCCGCCAGUGCCCCAACGGGGCCCUAGUUAUUAUUAUUAUUAUUAUUUUUCCUCCGCUUUAAACUGGAAAAUGGCCCACUUCCCACUGGCGAAAACUCAUGAAAUUUGGCAGGACGACCGGGCCUGGUGAAAAAUUCGAUAUUCUGAAGUCGCCCAAACAAUAAAAUGCAAAAUGGCUCCAUAGCGCCCCCUAAGGUGGAAAUUCACACUAUUGACUGUCACGUCUGUACGUUUUGUCAUAUUGACACAAAAAUUGACACACAUAUGUAUCUCAAUAAGAUCUACAAAAAAGUCAGUGCGGGCGUAUCUGUCAAAUGUACGGUUAAAGGGUUAUUUCGCAUUUUUUGCCGAUCCGCACACAUUGGAAUUUCGCUAACUCCUCCGAAGGCUUUCGUUCCACCGGCACCACAUUUGCUCAGGCCAGUCUACACCCCAUGGCCAUUAAAAGUUGUACAAAUCAUGACGCUGCACCCCACGGUUUAGGUUCUAGGGGGCGCCAAAGAUAACCCAAAAAUCCACAUUCUUAAAAGUCUUAUAACUUUUUAUUUUUGUCCUCACUGCCCUCCAAGUUUUCUAGGAUGAUGCAAUGUCCAGCCAUCAACACAUUUGUGAAGGAAUUUUUACUCCCCAAAAGAGCGCCCCCCCAUGGCAGGAGAAAAAAGUCAAUUUUUUCUUGUCCCCUUACAUGAAAAUUCACAUUGUUGAGUGUCACGCCUGAACGCUUUGUCAUAUUGACACAAAAAUUGACAAUCAUGUGUAUCUCAAUUAGAUCUACGAAAAAGUCAAAGAGCGCGUAUCUGUAUAAUGUACGGUUAAAGGGCUAUUUCGCAUUUUUUGCCUAUUCGCACACAUUGGAAUGUGGCUAUCUCCUCCUAAGGCUUUCGUCCCACUGAUACCAAAUUUGCUCAGGGCAAUCUACACCCCAUGCCCAUUCAAAGUUGUAAAAAUCAUGACGCUGCACCCCACGGUUUACGUUCUAGGGGGCGCCAAAGAUGACCCAAAAAUCCACAUUCUUAAAAGUCAUUUUGGCCACUGCAGGAGUACAGAGUACUGCAGUUCUAGGGGGCGCCAAAGAUGACCCAAAAAUCCACAUUCUUAAAAGUCUUUUUGGCCACUGCAGGAGUACAGAGUACUGCAGGAUACACACACAUAUACACACACGCCAACACACACACACACACACACACACACACACACACACACACACACACACACACACACACACACACACACACACACUCAGAGUCUGUUUUUUAGCACCUGCAAAAACAUGCUGUUUACAUAUUUGACAAGAAUGCAGAGGCUUCCUUUUGCCCCUGAAAAAAAUCAGAUUUCAAACACAACUUGACUGUUCAUUUCUCCAAAAGACAACCAUGAAGCUCCAUCCAAACCUGAAGCAGAUAGUUGGUGCAUGUGUACAGUAACCUGAGGGGAGUGAGGUGACUAUUUCUGAGGAGAACAUGAGCAGUGAAGAUUCACCUUGGAGCUAGAACAGGGACGUGCACAUGAUUAUACAGGGGCAGGGGCUCAAGUUUUUUCCAGUCAUUUAUACAAUAUGGAAAUUAAUGUGAAAUUAAAACACAAAGUAUUAAUAGAAAGGUAAUGACUGUCCUGUGUAGGUGACAGUGAUAUCCAAUAGGCUAGGCACUCACGAGGCUGGCUGUGGCAAGUGUAAGUGAAAGCAACACGCACUGGCAGGAAGAACAGCAAACGCCGAUGAAGGAAAGGGUCUUUGCAGUGAUGGGCGUUACCAGAGAGGACGAUGGCCAGAGGACGCGAAUGGGACGGGGAGGCAGCGCGUUGGGGGGGGCAGCGCGACACGGCUCGGGCCCGCCAGUGCCCCAACGGGGCCCUAGUCUUUCUUUAGGGCCCGAGCGUAGCUGCUAAGCAGCUGCGAGAGCCCUCUUGUUCCUGAUGGAUUCUUCUUUUGUUAUUAUUAGGGCCCGAGCCAGCUGCAGAGCAGCCGGGCGUAGGCCCUAUUAUUCCCCAAGUGGUUUUUCUUUGUUUCUUUAGGGCCCGAGCCAGCUGCAGAGCAGCCGGGCGUAGGCCCUAUUAUUCCCCAAGAGGUUUUUCUUUGUUUCUUUCUUUAGGGCCCGAGCGUAGCUGCUAAGCAGCUGCGAGAGCCCUCUUGUUCCUGUAGUUUCCUUCUUUUGUUAUUAUUAUUAUUAUUAUUUUUCCUCCCCUUUGAACUGGAAAAUGGCCCACUUCCCACUGGCGAAAACUCAUGAAAUUUGGCAGGACGACUGGGCCUGGUGAAAAAUUUGAUAUUCCGAAGUCGCCCAAACAAGAAAAUGCAAAAUGGCUCCAUAGCGCCCCCUAACGUGAAAAUUCACACUAUUCACUGUCACGCCUGUACGCUUUGUCAAAAUGACACAAAAAUUGACACACACAUGUAUCUCAAUAAGAUCUACAAAAAAGUCAGUGCGGGCGUAUCUGUCAAAUGUACGGUUAAAGGGUUAUUGCGCAUUUUUUGCCGAUCCGCACACAUUGGAAUUUCGCUAACUCCUCCGAAGGCUUUCGUUCCACCGGCACCACAUUUGCUCAGGCCAAUCUACACCCCAUGGCCAUUAAAAGUUAUUCAAAUCAUGACGCUGCACCCCACGGUUUAGGUUCUAGGGGGCGCCAAAAAUAACCCUAAAAUCCACAUAUUUCAAAGUCUUAUAACUUUUUAUUUUUGCCCUCACUGGCCUCCAAGUUUUCUAGGAUGAUGCAAUGUCCAGCCAUCAACACAUUUUUGAAGGAAUUUUUACUCCCCAAAAGAGCGCCCCCCCAUGGCAGGAGAAAAAAGUCCAUUUUUUCUUGUCCCAUAAGGUGAAAAUUCACACUAUUGACUGUCACGCCUGUACGCUUUGUCAAAAUUACACAAAAAUUGACACACACAUGUAUCUCAAUAAGAUCUACAAAAAAGUCAGUGCUGGCGUAUCUGUCAAAUGUACGGUUAAAGGGUUAUUGCGCAUUUUUUGCCGAUCCGCACACAUUGGAAUUUCGCUAACUCCUCCGAAGGCUUUCGUUCCACCGGCACCACAUUUGCUCAGGCCAAUCUACACCCCAUGGCCAUUAAAAGUUAUUCAAAUCAUGACGCUGCACCCCACAGUUUAGGUUCUAGGGGGCGCCAAAGAUAACCCAAAAAUCCACAUAUUUAAAAGUCUUAUAACUUUUUAUUUUUGUCCUCUCUGGCCUCCAAGUUUUCUAGGAUGAUGCAAUGUCCAGCCAUCAACACAUUUGUGAAGGAAUUUUUACUCCCCAAAAGAGCGCCCCCCCAUGGCAGGAGAAAAAAGUCCAUUUUUUCUUGUCCCAUAAGGUGAAAAUACACAUUGUUGACUGUCAUACCUGUAUGCUUUGUCAUAUUGACACAAAAUUUGACACACACAUGUAUCUCAAUAAGAUCUACGAAAAAGUCAAUGCGCGCGUAUCUGUAAAAUGUACGGUUAAAGGGCUAUUUUGCAUUUUUUGCCGAUUAGCACACAUUGGAAUGUGGCUAACUCCUCCUAAGGCUUUCGUCCCACUGACACCAAAUUUGCUCAGGCCAAUCUACACCCCAUGGCCAUUCAAAGUUUUAAAAAUCAUGACGCUGCACCCCACGGUUUACGUUCUAGGGGGCGCCAAAGAUGACCCAAAUAUCCACAUUCUUAAAAGAAUCCACAUCCCCCCCCCCCCAUCCCCCAUCCCCCAUGGCAGGAGAAACAGUCAAGUUUUUCCUGCCCAUCACUCAAUGGCUCAAUCGCAUCGCUCUCCCGGCAACACCGUAACGAGGAGCAACUUGCCGUUUGGAUAUAUCCUAGCUGUGUUUGUGCCCUCACUCAUGGUCCACACUUUUUUCAAAUAGGACAUGUAGUUUGUCUGCAGCGAGUGUUUUGGUAGAAACUGCGCCUCCCAUUCAUUAUAAUGGGAAAUGACCACAGACAAGUGCGCACACCAUCUUUGGACCUUGAGUGUGACGCGAUCGGGAGGGGGAGGCGGUCGCACUGGGGGCGGCGCAACGCGGCUCGGGCCCGCCAGUGCCCCAACGGGGCCCUAGUUAGGGCCCGAGCGUAGCUGCUAAGCAGCUGCGAGAGCCCUCUUGUUCCUGUAGUUUCCUUCUUUUGUUAUUAUUAUUAUUUUUCCUCCCCUUUGAACUGGAAAAUGGCCCACUUCCCACUGGCGAAAACUCAUGAUAUUUGGCAGGACGACCGGGCCUGGUGAAAAAUUUGAUUUUCUGAAGUCGCCCAAACAAGAAAAUGCAAAAUGGCUCCAUAGCGCCCCCUAAGGUGAAAAUUCACACUAUUGACUGUCACGCCUGUACGCUUUGUCAAAAUGACACAAAAAUUGACACACACAUGUAUCUCAAUAAGAUCUACAAAAAAGUCAGUGCGGGCGUAUCUGUCAAAUGUACGGUUAAAGGGUUAUUUCGCAUUUUUUGCCGAUCCGCACACAUUGGAAUUUCGCUAACUCCUCCGAAGGCUUUCGUUCCACCGGCACCACAUUUGCUCAGGCCAAUCUACACCCCAUGGCCAUUAAAAGUUAUUCAAAUUGAGACGCUGCACCCCACGGUUUAGGUUCUAGGGGGCGCCAAAGAUAACCCUAAAAUCCACAUAUUUAAAAGUCUUAUAACUUUUUAUUUUUGCCCUCACUGGCCUCCAAGUUUUCUAGGAUGAUGCAAUGUCCAGCCAUCAACACAUUUGUGAAGGAAUUUUUACUCCCCAAAAGAGCGCCCCCCCAUGGCAGGAGAAAAAAGUCCAUUUUUUCUUGACCCCUAAGGUGAAAAUACACAUUGUUGAGUGUCAUGCCUGUACGCUUUGGCAAAAUGACACAAAAAUUGACACACACGUGUAUCUCAAUAAGAUCUACGAAAAAGUCCAUGCGCGCGUACCUGUCAAAUGUACGGUUAAAGGGUUAUUCCGCAUUUUUUGCCGAUCCGCACACAUUGGAAUUUCGCUAACUCCUCCGAAGGCUUUCGUUCCACCGGCACCACAUUUGCUCAGGCCAAUCUACACCCCAUGGCCAUUAAAAGUUAUUCAAAUCAUGACGCUGCACCCCACGGUUUAGGUUCUAGGGGGCGCCAAAGAUAACCCUAAAAUCCACAUAUUUCAAAGUCUUAUAACUUUUUAUUUUUGUCCUCACUGGCCUCCAAGUUUUCUAGGAUGAUGCAAUGUCCAGCCAUCAACACAUUUGUGAAGGAAUUUUUACUCCCCAAAAGAGCGCCCCCCCAUGGCAGGAGAAAAAGUCAAUUUUUUCUUGUCCCGUAAGGUGAAAAUUCACAUUGUUGAGUGUGACACCUGUACGCUUUGUCAUAUUGACACAAAAUUUGACAAUCACGUGUAUCUCAAUAAGAUCUACGAAAAAGUCAAUGCACGCGUAUCUGUCAAAUAUAUGGUUAGAGGGCUAUUUUGCAUUUUUUGCCGAUUCGCACACAUUGGAAUGUGGCUAACUCCUCCUAAGGCUUUCGUCCCACUGAAACCAAAUUUGCUCAGGCCAAUCUACACCCCAUGGCCAUUCAAAGUUGUAAAAAUCAUGACGCUGCACCCCACGGUUUACGUUCUAGGGGGCGCCAAAGAUGACCCAAAAAUCCACAUUAUUAAAAGAAUCCACAUUCCCCCCCCCCCCCAUGGCACGAGAAAAAGUCAAGUUUUUCCUGCCCAUCGCUCAAUGGCUCAAUCGCAUCGCUCUCCAGGCAAAACCGUAAGGAGGAGCAACCUGCCAUUUGGAUAUAUAUCCCAGCUGUGUUUGUGCCCUCACUCAUGGUCCAGACUUUUUUCAAAUAGGACAUGAAGUUUGUCUGCAGCGAGUGUUUUGGUAGAAACUGCGCCUCCCAUUCAUUAUAAUGGGAAAUGACUACAGACAAGUGCGCACACCAUCUUUGGACCUUGAGUGUGACGCGAUUGGGAGGGGGAGGCGGUCGCGCUGGGGGCGGCGCGACGCGGCUCGGGCCCGACAGUGCCCCACCGGGGCCCUAGUCUUUGUUUCUUUCUUUCUUUUUUCUUUUUCCUCCCCUUUGAACUGGAAAAUGGCCCACUUCCCACUGGCGAAAACUCAUGAAAUUUGGCAGGACGACCGGGCCUGGUGAAAAAUUCGAUAUUCUGAAGUCGCCCAAACAAUAAAAUGCAAAAUGGCUCCAUAGCGCCCCCUAAGGUGGAAAUUCACACUAUUGACUGUCACGCCUGUACGCUUUGUCAUAUUGACACAAAAAUUGACACACAUAUGUAUCUCAAUAAGAUCUACAAAAAAGUCAGUGCGGCCGUAUCUGUCAAAUGUACGGUUAAAGGGUUAUUUCGCAUUUUUUUCCGAUCCGCACACAUUGGAAUUUCGCUAACUCCUCCGAAGGCUUUCGUUCCACCGGCACCACAUUUGCUCAGGCCAAACUACACCCCGUGGCCAUUAAAAGUUAUCAAAAUCAUGACGCUGCACUCCAAGGUUUAGGUUCUAGGGGGCGCCAAAGAUAACACUAAAAUCCACAUAUUUAAAAGUCUUAUAACUUUUUAUUUUUGUCCUCACUGGCCUCCAAGUUUUCUAGGAUGAUGCAAUGUCCAGCCAUCAACACAUUUGUGAAGGAAUUUUUACUCCCCAAAAGAGCGCCCCCCCAUGGCAGGAGAAAAAAGUCCAUUUUUUCUUGUCCCCUAAGGUGAAAAUACACAUUGUUGAGUGUCACGCCUAUACGCUUUGUCAAAAUGACACAAAAAUUGACACACACAUGUAACUCAAUAAGAUCUACGAAAAAGUCAAUGCGCGCGUAUCUGUCAAAUGUACGGUUAAAGGGUUAUUCCGCAUUUUUUGCCGAUCCGCACACAUUGGAAUUUCGCUAACUCCUCCGAAGGCUUUCUGUCCACCGGCACCACAUUUGCUCAGGCCAAUCUACACCCCGUGGCCAUUAAAAGUUAUCAAAAUCAUGACGCUGCACCCCAAGGUUUAGGUUCUAGGGGGCGCCAAAGACAACCCUAAAAUCCACAUAUUUAAAAGUCUUAUAACUUUUUAUUUUUGUCCUCACUGGCCUCCAAGUUUUCUAGGAUGAUGCAAUGUCCAGCCAUCCACACAUUUGUGAAGGAAUUUUUACUCCCCAAAAGAGCGCCCCCCCAUGGUAGGAGAAAAAAGUCAAUUUUUUCUUGUCCCCUUACAUGAAAAUACACAUUGUUGAGUGUCACGCCUGAACGCUUUGUCAUAUUGACACAAAAAUUGACAAUCAUGUGUAUCUCAAUUAGAUCUACGAAAAAGUCAAAGAGCGCGUAUCUGUAUAAUGUACGGUUAAAGGGCUAUUUUGCAUUUUUUGCCGAUUCGCACACAUUGGAAUGUGGCUAUCUCCUCCUAAGGCUUUCGUCCCACCGAUACCAAAUUUGCUCAGGGCAAUCUACACCCCAUGCCCAUUCAAAGUUGUAAAAAUCAUGAUGCUGCACCCCACGUUUUACGUUCUAGGGGGCGCCAAAGAUGACCCAAAAAUCCACAUUCUUAAAAGUCAUUUUGGCCACUGCAGGAGUACAGAGUACUGCAGUUCUAGGGGGCGCCAAAGAUGACCCAAAAAUCCACAUUCUUAAAAGUCUUUUUGGCCACUGCAGGAGUACAGAGUACUGCAGGAUACACACACAUAUACACACACGCCAACAUACACACACACACACACACACACACACACACAGACACACACACACACACUCAGAGUCUGUUUUUUAGCACCUGCAAAAACAUGCUGUUUACAUAUUUGACAAGAAUGCAGAGGCUUCCUUUUGCCCCUGAUAAAAAUCAAAUUUCAAACACAACUUGACUGUUCAUUUCUCCAAAAGACAACCAUGAAGCUCCAUUUCAAACCUGAAGCAGAUAGUUGGUGCAUGUGUACAGUAACCUGAGGGGAGUGAGGUGACUAUUUCUGAGGAGAACAUGAGCAGUGAAGAUUCACCUUGGAGCUAGAACAGGGACGUGCACAUGAUUAUACAGGGGCAGGGGCUCAAGUUUUUUCCAGUAAUUUAUACAAUAUGGAAAUUAAUGUGAAAUUAAACCACAAAUAUGUGUGAUGAACUGUUUUUAAAACUUAAACUUCAAAUAAAAAUUGUAAACUUCAAAACAUAUGCAAAUUUUUAACAAAGAACAUAGUAAUUUACCUCUAUUUACACCAAAAUGCAGGCAAUGGCCCAGGCGUUCUUUGUAAAAUUAUUUACAAAACACUGUAUAGUCUCACAAAUGUCACUUUUUAUUUAUGCCACUACAAAAAAACAUGAUGUAAAUGAUGCAUGAUGUAAAACAUGAUGUAAAAAACUUGUGUAGAUCCUCCUCUAUGUCAGUCCAUGUGUAAUUUUUCCAUAAUUCUUUGUUUUUUGCAGCAUUUUUGUUAGUGUAACUGCAGAUUGUGCUGACAGUGUCUAUGGCACAAAAAAAAAAAAAAUUAAAAUGCCUCAACAUGAACCCCUGGUGGUCUCUGAGGGUGAAACCUGCUAACUGCUGCAGCUCUGUCAGCUUCAGUCUCCCAUGCAGAGCUCGGAGCGCAUGUGUGGCUCUGCACCCUUAGCAGCGUUGCUAACUCCUCAGUAAGGAAAGCCUGCUUCAUGUCAGAGUCUCUAAACUCCAGAAGAAGUCGAUAAAAGUCCCUUUCUUUCUAAAAAAAAGUCGUUAGGGGGUCUGAAAAAUCAUUGAAUCUAACAACAAAGUCGCUAGGUUUGCAACUACGUGUCCCAGACUGCAUCCCUGCUGAGAGUCCCUCCCUCCCUUCUCAUGUUGCAGGAAGAACGUAAGCGCCCGCCCCUUGUCAAUCAGUCACCAUAUAAUUUUGGAUUGGUUGUUGUGGUGAAGUUUUCCACCAAUAGGAGAGAUGUUGUGGUGUGUAUUUUUUUUCCUUUGGCAAGCCUUUUCCGCCUGUAAGACCUGUCGCUAAUGUCUGCAUGCUAUGUUUUCCUGUCUCAUUCAGCGCGAUCGAGCGCCGAACGUGAUCAAAAUAAGCAGAAAACAAGUAUCGCGGACAUAAUUUAUCAUAACUCUGGUUUUAUUUGGCCUAUCAACACAAUUUAAAAACUGGUAUAUAGGUUGAGGUCCUCACUUUUGAGAUAAAUUGAAACGGAGAGUCAACGAGGCUCCGUCUUGCAGCUACAUCCGGUUAAAUAUGUCAUGUGACUUGAACGCACACACACACACACAGACACACACACACACGCACACACACACACUCAGAGUCUGGUUUGUAGCACCUGCAAAAACAUGCUAUUUACAUAUUUGACAAGAAUGCAGAGGCUCCUUUUGCCCCUGAAAAAAAUCAAAUUUCAAACACAACUUGACUGGUCAUUUCUCCAAAAGACAACCAUGAAGCUCCAUCCAAACCUGAAGCAGGCAGUUGGUGCAUGUGUACAGUAACCUGAGGGGAGUGAGGUGACUGCUUCUGAGGAGAACAUGAGCAGUGAAGAUUUACCUUAGAGCUAGAACAGAGACGUGCACAUGAUUAUACAGGGGCAGGGGCUCAAGUUUUUUCCAGUCGUUUAUACAAUUUGGAAAUUAAUGUGAAAUUAAAAAACAAAGUAUUAAUAGAAAGGUAAUGACUGUCCUGUGUAGGUGACAGUGAUAUCCAAUAGGCUAGGCACUCACGAGGCUGGCUGUGGCAAGUGUAAGUGAAAGCAACACGCACUGGCAGGAAGAACAGCAAACGCCGAUGAAGGAAAAGGGUCUUUGCAGUGAUGGGCGUUACCAAAGAGGGCGAUAGCCAGAGGACACAAAUGGGACGGGGAGGCAGCGCGUUGGGGGGGGGACGCGACACAGCUCGGGCCCGCCAGUGCCCCAACGGGGUCCUAGUUAGGGCCCGAGCGUAGCUGCUAAGCAGCUGCGAGAGCCCUCUUGUUCCUGCAUGUUUCCUUCUUUUGUUAUUAUUAUUAUUUUUCCUCCCCUUUGAACUGGAAAAUGGCCCACUUCCCACUGGCGAAAACUCAUGAAAUUUGGCAGGAAGACCGGGCCUGGUGAAAAAUUUGAUAUUCUGAAGUCGCCCAAACAAUGAAAUGCAAAAUGGCUCCAUAGCGCCCCCUAAGGUGAAAAUUCACACUAUUGACUGUCACGCCUUUACGCUUUGGCAAAAUGACACAAAAAUUGACACACAUAUGUAUCUCAAUAAGAUCUACGAAAAAGUCAGUGCGGGCGUAUCUGUCAAAUUUACGGUUAAAGGGUUAUUUCGCAUUUUUUGCCGAUCCACACACAUCGGAAUUUCGCUAACUCCUCUGAAGACUUUCGUUCCAUCGGAACAACAUUUGCUCAGGUCAAUCUACACCCCAUGGCCAUUAAAAGUUAUUCAAAUCAUGACGCUGCACCCCACGGUUUAGGUUCUAGGGGGCGCCAAAGAUAACCCUAAAAUCCACAUAUUUAAAAGUCUUAUAACUUUUUAUUUUUGUCCUCACUGGCCUCCAAGUUUUCUAGGAUGAUGCAAUGUCCAGCCAUCAACACAUCUGUGAAGGAAUUUUUACUCCCCAAAAGAGCGCCCCCCCAUGGCAGGAGAAAAAAGUCCAUUUUUUCUUGUCCCCUAAGGUGAAAAUACACAUUGUUGAGUGUCACGCCUGUACGCUUUGGCAAAAUGACACAAAAAUUGACACACACAUGUAUCUCAAUAAGAUCUACAAAAAAGUCUAUGCGCGCGUAUCUGUCAAAUGUACGGUUAAAGGGCUAUUUUGCAUUUUUUGCCGAUUCGCACACAUUGGAAUUUCGCUAACUCCUCCGAAGGCUUUCAUUCCACCGGCACCACAUUUGCUCAGGCCAAUCUACACCCCAUGGCCAUUAAAAGUUAUUCAAAUCAUGAUGCUGCACCCCACGGUCUAGGUUCUAGGGGGCGCCAAAAAUAACCCUAAAAUCCACAUAUGUAAAAGUCUUAUAACUUUUUAUUUUUGUCCUCACUGGCCUCCAAGUUUUCUAGGAUGAUGCAAUGUCCAGCCAUCAACACAUUUGUGAAGGAAUUUUUACUCCCCAAAAGAGCGCCCCCCCCCCAUGGCAGGAGAAAAAAGUCCAUUUUUUCUUGUCCCCUAAGGUGAAAAUUCACAUUGUUGAGUGUGACACCUGUACGCUUUGUCAAAAUGACACAAAAAUUGACACACACAUGUAUCUCAAUAAGAUCUACGAAAAAGGAGGAGGAGCAACCUGCCAUUUGGAUAUAUCCUAGCUGUGUUUGUGCCCUCACUCAUGGUCCAGACUUUUUUCAAAUAGGACAUGUAGUUUGUCUGCAGUGAGUGUUUUGGUAGAAACUGCGCCUCCCAUUCAUUAUAAUGGUAAAUGACCACAGACAAGUGCGCACACCAUCUUUGGACCUUGAGUGUGACGCGAUCGGGAGGGGGAGGCGGUCGCACUGGGGGCGGCGCGACGCGGCUCGGGCCCGACAGUGCCCCAACGGGGCCCUAGUUAUUAUUUUUCCUCCCCUUUGAACUGGAAAAUGGCCCACUUCCCACUGGCGAAAACUCAUGAAAUUUGGCAGGACGACCGGGCCUGGUGAAAAAUUUGAUAUUCCGAAGUCGCCCAAACAAGAAAAUGCAAAAUGGCUCCAUAGCGCCCCCUAAGGUGAAAAUUCACACUAUUGACUGUCACGCCUGUACGCUUUGUCAAAAUGACACAAAAAUUGACACACACAUGUAUCUCAAUAAGAUCUACAAAAAAGUCAGUGCGGGCGUAUCUGUCAAAUGUACGGUUAAAGGGUUAUUUCGCAUUUUUUGCCGAUCCGCACACAUUGGAAUUUCGCUAACUCCUCCGAAGGCUUUCGUUCCACCGGCACCACAUUUGCUCAGGCCAAUCUACACCCCAUGGCCAUUAAAAGUUAUUCAAAUCAUGACGCUGCACCCCACGGUUUAGGUUCUAGGGGGCGCCAAAGAUAACCCUAAGAUCCACAUAUUUAAAAGUCUUAUAACUUUUUAUUUUUGCCCUCACUGGCCUCCAAGUUUUCUAGGAUGAUGCAAUGUCCAGCCAUCAACACAUUUGUGAAGGAAUUUUUACUCCCCAAAAGAGCGCCCCCCCAUGGCAGGAGAAAAAAGUCCAUUUUUUCUUGUCCCCUAAGGUGAAAAUACACAUUGUUGAGUGUAACACCUGUACGCUUUGGCAAAAUGACACCAAAAUUGAGACACACAUGUAUCUCAAUAAGAUCUACAAAAAAGUCAAUGCGCACGUAUCUGUCAAAUGUACGGUUAAAGGGUUAUUCCGCAUUUUUUGCCGAUCCGCACACAUUGGAAUUUCGCUAACUCCUCCGAAGGCUUUCGUUCCACCGGCACCACAUUUUCUCAGGCCAAUCUACACCCCAUGGCCAUUAAAAGUUAUUCAAAUCAUGACGCUGCACCCCACGGUUUAGGUUCUAGGGGGCGCCAAAGAUAACCGUAAAAUCCACAUAUUUAAAAGUCUUAUAACUUUUUAUUUAUGUCCCCACUGGCCUCCAAGUUUUCUAGGAUGAUGCAAUGUCCAGCCAUCAACACAUUUGUGAAGGAAUUUUUACUCGCCAAAAGAGCGCCCCCCCAUGGCAGGAGAAAAAAGUCCAUUUUUUCUUGUCCACUAAGGUGAAAAUACACAUUGUUGAGUGCUACGCCUGUAUGUUUUGUCGUAUUGACACAAAAUUUUACAUACACGUGUCUUUCAAUAAGAUCUUCGAAAAAUUCAAUAGCCACGUAUCUGUAAAAUGUACGGUUAAAGGGUUAUUUCGCAUUUUUUGCAGAUUCGCACACAUUGGAAUUUCGCUAACUCCUCCGAAGGCUUUCGUUCCACCGGCACCACAUUUGCUCAGGCCAAUCUACACCCCAUGGCCAUUAAAAGUUGUACAAAUCAUGACGCUGCACCCCACGGUUUAGGUUCUAGGGGGCGCCAAAGAUAACCCUAAAAUCCACAUAUUUAAAAGUCUUAUAACUUUUUAUUUUUGUCCUCACUGGCCUCCAUGUUUUCUAGGAUGAUGCAAUGUCCAGCCAUCAACACAUUUGUGAAGGAGUUUUUUCUCGUUAAAAGAGCGCCCCCCCAUGGCAGGAGAAUAAAGUCAAGUUUUUCCUGUUCAUCAUUCAAUGGCUCAAACGCACUGCUCUCUCGGCAAAAGCGAAAGGAGGAGCAACUUGCCAUUUGGAUAUAUCUUAGCUGUGUUUGUGCCCUCACUCAUGGUCCAGACUUUUUUCAAAUAGGACAUGGAGUUUUUCUGCAGCGAGCGUUUUGGUAGAAACUGCGCCUCCCGUUCAUUAUAAUGGUAAAUGACCACAAACAAGUGCGCACACCAUCUUUGGACCUUGAGUGUGACGCGAUCGGGUGGGGGAGGCGGUCGUGCUGGGGGCGGCGUGACACGGCUCGGGCCCGCCAGUGCCCCAACGGGGCCCUAGUUUGUUAUUAUUAUUUUUCCUCCCCUUUGAACUGGAAAAUGGCCCACUUCCCACUGGCGAAAACUCAUGAAAUUUGGCAGGACGACCGGGCCUGGUGAAAAAUUUGAUAUUCCGAAGUCGCCCAAACAAGAAAAUGCAAAAUGGCUCCAUAGCGCCCCCUAAGGUGAAAAUUCACACUAUUGACUGUCACGCCUGUACGCUUUGUCAAAAUGACACAAAAAUUGACACACACAUGUAUCUCAAUAAGAUCUACAAAAAAGUCAGUGCGGGCGUAUCUGUCAAAUGUACGGUUAAAGGGUUAUUUCGCAUUUUUUGCCGAUCCGCACACAUUGGAAUUUCGCUAACUCCUCCGAAGGCUUUCGUUCCACCGGCACCACAUUUGCUCAGGCCAAUCUACACCCCAUGGCCAUUAAAAGUUAUUCAAAUCAUGACGCUGCACCCCACGGUUUAGGUUCUAGGGGGCGCCAAAGAUAACCCUAAGAUCCACAUAUUUAAAAGUCUUAUAACUUUUUAUUUUUGCCCUCACUGGCCUCCAAGUUUUCUAGGAUGAUGCAAUGUCCAGCCAUCAACACAUUUGUGAAGGAAUUUUUACUCCCCAAAAGAGCGCCCCCCCAUGGCAGGAGAAAAAAGUCCAUUUUUUCUUGUCCCCUAAGGUGAAAAUACACAUUGUUGAGUGUAACACCUGUACGCUUUGGCAAAAUGACACAAAAAUUGACACACACAUGUAUCUCAAUAAGAUCUACGAAAAAGUCAAUGCGCGCGUAUCUGUCAAAUGUACGGUUAAAGGGUUAUUCCGCAUUUUUUGCCGAUCCGCACACAUUGGAAUUUCGCUAACUCCUCCGAAGGCUUUCAUUCCACCGGUACCACAUUUGCUCAGGCCAAUCUACACCCCAUGGCCAUUAAAAGUUAUUCAAAUCAUGACGCUGCAUCCCACGGUUUAGGUUCUAGGGGGCGCCAAAGAUAACCCUAAAAUCCACAUAUUUAAAAGUCUUAUAACUUUUUAUUUUUGUCCUCACUGGCCUCCAAGUUUUCUAGGAUGAUGCAAUGUCCAGCCAUCAACACAUUUGUGAAGGAAUUUUUACUCCCCAAAAGAGCGCCCCCCCAUGGCAGGAAAAAAAAGCCAAUUUUUUCUUGUCCCCUAAGGUGGAAAUUCACACUAUUGACUGUCACGCCUGUACGCUUUAUCAUAUUGACACAAAAAUUGACACACAUAUGUAUCUCAAUAAGAUCUACAAAAGAGUCGAUUCGCGCGUAUCUGUCAAAUGUACGGUUAAAGGGCUAUUUUGCAUUUUUUGCCGAUUCGCACACAUUGGAAUGUGGCUAACUCCUCCUAAGGCUUUCGUCCCACUGACACCAAAUUUGCUCAGGCCAAUCUACACCCCAUGGCCAUUCAAAGUUGUAAAAAUCAUGACGCUGCACCCCACGGUUUACGUUCUACGGGGCGCCAAAGAUGACCCAAAAAUCCACAUUCUUCAAAGAAUCCACAUCUCCCCCCCCCCCCCCCAUAUGGCAGGAGAAAAAGUUAAGUUUUUCCUGCCCAUCGCUCAAUGGCUCAAUCGCAUCGCUCUCCAGGCAACACCGUAAGGAGGAGCAACCUGCCAUUUCGAUAUAUCAUAGCUGUGUUUGUGCCCUCACUCAUGGUCCAGACUUUUUUCAAAUAGGACAUGAAGUUUGUCUGCAGCGAGUGUUUUGGUAGAAACUGCGCCUCCCAUUCAUUAUAAUAGGAAAUGACCACAGACAAGUGCGCACACCAUCUUUGGAUCUUGAGUGUGACGCGAUCGGGAGGGGGAGGCGGUCGCACUGGGGGCGGCGCGACACGGCUCGGGCCCGACAGUGCCCCAACGGGGUCCUAGUUCUUUCUUUCUUCUUUUUCCUCCCCUUUGAACUGGAAAAUGGCCCACUUCCCACUGGCGAAAACUCAUGAAAUUUGGCAGGACGACCGGGCCUGGUGAAAAAUUCGAUAUUCUGAAGUCGCCCAAACAAUAAAAUGCAAAAUGGCUCCAUAGCGCCCCCUAAGGUGGAAAUUCACACUAUUGACUGUCACGCCUGUACGCUUUGUCAUAUUGACACAAAAAUUGACACACAUAUGUAUCUCAAUAAGAUCUACAAAAAAGUCAGUGCGGCCGUAUCUGUCAAAAUUACGGUUAAAGGGUUAUUUCGCAUUUUUUGCCGAUCCGCACACAUUGGAAUUUCGCUAACUCCUCCGAAGGCUUUCGUUCCACCGGCACCACAUUUGCUCAGGCCAAUCUACACCCCGUGGCCAUUAAAAGUUAUCAAAAUCAUGACGCUGCACCCCAAGGUUUAGGUUCUAGGGGGCGCCAAAGAUAACACUAAAAUCCACAUAUUUAAAAGUCUUAUAACUUUUUAUUUUUGUCCUCACUGGCCUCCAAGUUUUCUAGGAUGAUGCAAUGUCCAGCCAUCAACACAUUUGUGAAGGAAUUUUUACUCCCCAAAAGAGCGCCCCCCCAUGGCAGGAGAAAAAAGUCAAUUUUUUCUUGUCCCCUAAGGUGAAAAUACACAUUGUUGAGUGUCACGCCUAUACGCUUUGUCAAAAUGACACAAAAAUUGACACACACAUGUAACUCAAUAAGAUCUACAAAAAAGUCCAUGCGCGCGUAUCUGUCAAAUGUACAGUUAAAGGGUUAUUCCGCAUUUUUUGCCGAUACGCACACAUUGGAAUUUCGCUAACUCCUCCGAAGGCUUUCGUUCCACCGGCACCACAUUUGCUCAGGCCAAUCUACACCCCAUGGCCAUUAAAAGUUAUUCAAAUCAUGAUGCUGCACCCCAUGGUUUAGGUUCUAGGGGGCGCCAAAAAUAACCCAAAAAUCCACAUUCUUAAAUGUUUUAUAACUUUUUAUUUUUGUCCUCACUGGCCUCCAAGUUUUCUAGGAUGAUGCAAUGUCCAGCCAUCAACACAUUUGUGAAGGAAUUUUUACUCCCCAAAAGAGCGCCCCCCCAUGGUAGGAGAAAAAAGUCAAUUUUUUCUUGUCCCCUUACAUAAAAAUACACAUUGUUGAGUGUCACGCCUGAACGCUUUGUCAUAUUGACACAAAAAUUGACAAUCACGUGUAUCUCAAUUAGAUCUACGAAAAAGUCAAAGAGCGCGUAUCUGUAUAAUGUACGGUUAAAGGGCUAUUUUGCAUUUUUUGCCGAUUCGCACACAUUGGAAUGUGGCUAUCUCCUCCUAAGGCUUUCGUCCCACCGAUACCAAAUUUGCUCAGGGCAAUCUACACCCCAUGCCCAUUCAAAGUUGUAAAAAUCAUGACGCUGCACCCCACGGUUUACGUUCUAGGGGGCGCCAAAGAUGACCCAAAAAUCCACAUUCUUAAAAGUCAUUUUGGCCACUGCAGGAGUACAGAGUACUGCAGUUCUAGGGGGCGCCAAAGAUGACCCAAAAAUCCACAUUCUUAAAAGUCUUUUUGGCCACUGCAGGAGUACAGAGUACUGCAGGAUACACACACAUAUACACACACGCCAACAUACACACACACACACACACACACACACACACACACACACACACACACACGCACACAGACACACACACACACACACACACACACACACACACUCAGAGUCUGUUUUUUAGCACCUGCAAAAACAUGCUGUUUACAUAUUUGACAAGAAUGCAGAGGCUUCCUUUUGCCCCUGAAAAAAAUCAAAUUUCAAACACAACUUGACUGUUCAUUUCUCCAAAAGACAACCAUGAAGCUCCAUUUCAAACCUGAAGCAGAUAGUUGGUGCAUGUGUACAGUAACCUGAGGGGAGUGAGGUGACUAUUUCUGAGGAGAACAUGAGCAGUGAAGAUUCACCUUGGAGCUAGAACAGCGACGUGCACAUGAUUAUACAGGGGCAGGGGCUCAAGUUUUUUCCAGUCAUUUAUACAAUAUGGAAAUUAAUGUGAAAUUAAACCACAAAUAUGUGUGAUGAACUGUUUUUAAAACUUAAACUUCAAAUAAAAAUUGUAAACUUCAAAACAUAUGCAAAUUUUUAACAAAGAACAUAGUAAUUUACCUCUAUUUACAUCAAAAUGCAGGCAAUGGCCCAGGCGUUCUUUGUAAAAUUAUUUACAAAACACUGUAUAGUCUCACAAAUCUCACUUUUUAUUUAUGCCACUACAAAAAAACAUGAUGUAAAUGAUGCAUGAUGUAAAACAUGAUGUAAAAAACUUGUGUAGAUCCUCCUCUAUGUCAGUCCAUGUGUAAUUUUUCCAUAAUUCUUUGUUUUUUGCAGCAUUUUUGUUAGUGUAACUGCAGAUUGUGCUGACAGUGUCUAUGGCACAAAAAAAAAAAAAAAUUAAAAUGCCUCAACAUGAACCCCUGGUGGUCUCUGAGGGUGAAACCUGCUAACUGCUGCAGCUCUGUCAGCUUCAGUCUCCCAUGCAGAGCUCUGAGCGCAUGUGUGGCUCUGCACCCUUAGCAGCGUUGCUAACUCCUCAGUAAGGAAAGCCUGCUUCAUGUCAGAGUCUCUAAACUCCAGAAGAAGUCGAUAAAAGUCCCUUUCUUUCUAAAAAAAGUCGUUAGGGGGUCUGAAAAGUCAUUGAAUCUAACAACAAAGUCGCUAGGUUUGCAACUACGUGUCCCAGACUGCAUCCCUGCUGAGAGUCCCUCCCUCGCUUCUCAUGUUGCAGGAAGAACGUAAGCGCCCGCCCCUUGUCAAUCAGUCACCAUAUAAUUUUGGAUUGGUUGUUGUGGUGAAGUUUUCCACCAAUAGGAGAGAUGUUGUGGUGUGUUUUUUUUUUCUUUUGGCAAGCCUUUUCCGCCUGUAAGACCUGUCGCUAAUGUCUGCAUGCUAUGUUUUCCUGUCUCAUACAGCGCGAUCGAGCGCCGAACGUGAUCAAAAUAAGCAGAAAAAAAGUAUCGCGGACAUAAUUUAUCAUAACUCUGGUUUUAUUUGGCCUAUCAACACAAUUUAAAAACUGGUAUAUAGGUUGAGGUCCUCACUUUUGAGAUAAGUUGAAACGGAGAGUCAACGAGGCUCCGUCUUGCAGCUACAUCCGGUUAAAUAUGUCAUGUGACUUGAACGCACACGCAGACACACACACGCACACACACACACACACUCAGAGUCUGGUUUUUAGCACCUGCAAAAACAUGCUAUUUACAUAUUUGACAAGAAUGCAGAGGCUCCUUUUGCCCCUGAAAAAAAUCAAAUUUCAAACACAACUUGACUGGUCAUUUCUCCAAAAGACAACCAUGAAGCUCCAUCCAAACCUGAAGCAGGCAGUUGGUGCAUGUGUACAGUAACCUGAGGGGAGUGAGGUGAGUGCUUCUGAGGAGAACAUGAGCAGUGUAGAUUCACCUUGGAGCUAGAACAGAGACAUGCACAUGAUUAUACAGGGGCAGGGGCUCAAGUUUUUUCCAGUCGUUUAUACAAUAUGGAAAUUAAUGUGAAAUUAAAACACAAAGUAUUAAUAGAAAGGUAAUGACUGUCCUGUGUAGGUGACAGUGAUAUCCAAUAGGCUAGGCACUCACGAGGCUGGCUGUGGCAAGUGUAAGUGAAAGCAACACGCACUGGCAGGAAGAACAGCAAACGCCGAUGAAGGAAAAGGGUCUUUGCAGUGAUGGGCGUUAACAGAGAGGGCGAUGGCCAGAGGACACAAAUGGGACGGGGAGGCAGCGCGUUGGGGGGGGGACGCGACACAGCUCGGGCCCGCCAGUGCCCCAACGGGGUCCUAGUUAGGGCCCGAGCCAGCUGCAGAGCAGCCGGGCGUAGGCCCUAUUAUUCCCCAAGUGGUUUUUCUUUGUUUCUUUCUUUCUUUAGGGCCCGAGCCAGCUGCAGAGCAGCCGGGCGUAGGCCCUAUUAUUCCCCAAGUGGUUUUUCUUUGUUUCUUUCUUUCUUUUUUCUUUUUCCUCCCCUUUGAACUGGAAAAUGGCCCACUUCCCACUGGCGAAAACUCAUGAAAUUUGGCAGGACGACCGGGCCUGGUGAAAAAUUUGAUAUUCUGAAGUCGCCAAAACAAUAAAAUGCAAAAUGGCUCCAUAGCGCCCCCUAAGGUGAAAAUUCACACUAUUCACUGUCACGACUGUACGCUUUGUCAAAAUGACACAAAAAUUGACACACAUAUGUAUCUCAAUAAGAUCUACAAAAAAGUCAGUGCGGCCGUAUCUGUCAAAAUUACGGUUAAAGGGUUAUUACGCAUUUUUUGCCGAUCCGCACACAUUGGAAUUUCGCUAACUCCUCCGAAGGCUUUCGUUCCACCGGCACCACAUUUGCUCAGGCCAAUCUACACCCCAUGGCCAUUAAAAGUUAUCAAAAUCAUGACGCUGCACCCCAAGGUUUAGGUUCUAGGGGGCGCCAAAGAUAACACUAAAAUCCACAUAUUUAAAAGUCUUAUAACUUUUUAUUUUUGUCCUCACUGGCCUCCAAGUUUUCUAGGAUGAUGCAAUGUCCAGCCAUCAACACAUUUGUGAAGGAAUUUUUACUCCCCAAAAGAGCGCCCCCCCAUGGCAGGAGAAAAAAGUCCAUUUUUUCUUGUCCCCCAAGGUGAAAAUACACAUUGUUGAGUGUCACGCCUAUACGCUUUGUCAAAAUGACACAAAAAUUGACACACACAUGUAUCUCAAUAAGAUCUACGAAAAAGUCAAUGCGCGCGUAUCUGUCAAAUGUACGGUUAAAGGGUUAUUCCGCAUUUUUUGCCGAUCCGCACACAUUGGAAUGUGGCUAACUCCUCCUAAGGCUUUCGUUCCACCGGCACCACAUUUGCUCAGGCCAAUCUACACCCCAUGGCCAUUAAAAGUUAUUCAAAUCAUGACGCUGCACCCCACGGUUUAGGUUCUAGGGGGCGCCAAAGACAACCCUAAAAUCCACAUAUUUAAAAGUCUUAUAACUUUUUAUUUUUGUCCUCACUGGCCUCCAAGUUUUCUAGGAUGAUGCAAUGUCCAGCCAUCAACACAUUUGUGAAGGAAUUUUUACUCCCCAAAAGAGCGCCCCCCCAUGGCAGGAGAAAAAAGUCCAUUUUUUCUUGUCCCCCAAGGUGAAAAUACAUAUUGUUGAGAUUCACGCCUAUACGCUUUGUCAUAAUGACACAAAAUUUGACAAUCACGUGCCUUGCCUGGUAUCAUUUUUUUUCAGCACAACCUCACCUGUGCGAAUUUACAGUUAUUUUAUCAUGUUGACAUACUGAAUUUACACAAUGGACCCAAAUUCACACACAAAACAUAAAAUCCGAGUGGAAAAAAGUAACAUUUUUACUGUGAAAACCACAAAUAUGUGUGAUGAACUGUUUUUAAAACUUAAACUUCAAAUAAAAAUUGUAAACUUCAAAACAUAUGCAAAUUUUUAACAAAGAACAUAGUGAUUUACCUCUAUUUACAUCAAAAUGCAGGCAAUGGCCCAGGCGUUCUUUGUAAAAUUAUUUACAAAACACUGUAUAGUCUCACAAAUGUCACUUUUUAUUUAUGCCACUACAAAAAACAUGAUGUAAAUGAUGCAUGAUGUAAAACAUGAUGUAAAAAACUUGUGUAGAUCCUCCUCUAUGUCAGUCCAUGUGUAAUUUUUCCAUAAUUCUUUGUUUUUUGCAGCAUUUUUGUUAGUGUAACUGCAGAUUGUGCUGACAGUGUCUAUGGCACAAAAAAAAAAAAAAUUAAAAUGCCUCAACAUAAACCCCUGGUGGUCUCUGAGGGUGAAACCUGCUAACUGCUGCAGCUCUGUCAGCUUCAGUCUCCCAUGCAGAGCUCUGAGCGCAUGUGUGGCUCUGCACCCUUAGCAGCGUUGCUAACUCCUCAGUAAGGAAAGCCUGCUUCAUGUCAGAGUCUCUAAACUCCAGAAGAAGUCGAUAAAAGUCCCUUUCUUUCUAAAAAAAAGUUGUUAGUGGGUCUGAAAAGUCAUUGAAUCUAACAACAAAGUCGCUAGGUUUGCAACUACGUGUCCCAGACUGCAUCCCUGCUGAGAGUCCCUCCCUCCCUUCUCAUGUUGCAGGAAGAACGUAAGCGCCCUCCCCUUGUCAAUCAGUCACCAUAUAAUUUUGGAUUGGUUGUUGUGGUGAAGUUUUCCACCAAUAGGAGAGAUGUUGUGGUGUGUUUUUUUUUCUUUUGGCAAGCCUUUUCCGCCUGUAAGACCUGUCGCUAAUGUCUGCAUGCUAUGUUUUCCUGUCUCAUACAGCGCGAUCGAGCGCCGAACGUGAUCAAAAUAAGCAGAAAAAAAGUAUCGCGGACAUAAUUUAUCAUAACUCUGGUUUUAUUUGGCCUAUCAACACAAUUUAAAAACUGGUAUAUAGGUUGAGGUCCUCACUUUUGAGAUAAGUUGAAACGGAGAGUCAACGAGGCUCCGUCUUGCAGCUACAUCCGGUUAAAUAUGUCAUGUGACUUGAACGCACACACACACACAGACACACACACUCAGAGUCUGGUUUUUAGCACCUGCAAAAACAUGCUAUUUACAUAUUUGACAAGAAUGCAGAGGCUCCUUUUGCCCCUGAAAAAAAUCAAAUUUCAAACACAACUUGACUGGUCAUUUUUCUUCAAAAGACAACCAUGAAGCUCCAUCCAAACCUGAAGCAGGCAGUUGGUGCAUGUGUACAGUAACCUGAGGGGAGUGAGGUGAGUGCUUCUGAGGAGAACAUGAGCAGUGAAGAUUCACCUUGGAGCUAGAACAGAGACAUGCACAUGAUUAUACAGGGGCAGGGGCUCAAGUUUUUUCCAGUCGUUUAUACAAUAUGGAAAUUAAUGUGAAAUUAAAACACAAAGUAUUAAUAGAAAGGUAAUGACUGUCCUGUGUAGGUGACAGUGAUAUCCAAUAGGCUAGGCGCUCACGAGGCUGGCUGUGGCAAGUGUAAGUGAAAGCAACACGCACUGGCAGGAAGAACAGCAAACGCCGAUGAAGGAAAAGGGUCUUUGCAGUGAUGGGCGUUACCAGAGAGGGCGAUGGCCAGAGGACACAAAUGGGACGGGGAGGCAGCACGUUGGGGGGGGGGGGGGCGACACGGCUCGGGCCCGCCAGUGCCCCAACGGGGUCCUAGUGUUAUUAUUAGGGCCCGAGCGUAGCUGCUAAGCAGCUGCGAGAGCCCUCUUGUUAGGGCCCGAGCGUAGCUGCUAAGCAGCUGCGAGAGCCCUAUUAUUCCCCAAGUGGUUUUUCUUUGUUUCUUUUUUCUUUUUCCUCCCCUUUGAACUGGAAAAUGGCCCACUUCCCACUGGCGAAAACUCAUGAAAUUUGGCAGGACGACCGGGCCUGGUGAAAAAUUUGAUAUUCCGAAGUCGCCCAAACAAGAAAAUGCAAAAUGGCUCCAUAGCGCCCCCUAAGGUGAAAAUUCACACUAUUGACUGUCACGCCUGUACGCUUUGUCAUAUUGACACAAAAUUUGACACACACAUGUAUCUCAAUAAGAUCUACAAAAAAGUCAGUGCGGGCGUAUCUGUAAAAUGUACGGUUAAAGGGUUAUUUCGCAUUUUUUGCCGAUCCGCACACAUUGGAAUUUCGCUAACUCCUCCGAAGGCUUUCGUUCCACCGGCACCACAUUUGCUCAGGCCAAUCUACACCCCAUGGCCAUUAAAAGUUAUUCAAAUCAUGACGCUGCACCCCACGGUUUAGGUUCUAGGGGGCGCCAAAGAUAACCCUAAAAUCCACAUAUUUCAAAGUCUUAUAACUUUUUAUUUUUGCCCUCACUGGCCUCCAAGUUUUCUAGGAUGAUGCAAUGUCCAGCCAUCAACACAUUUGUGAAGGAAUUUUUACUCCCCAAAAGAGCGCCCCCCCAUGGCAGGAGAAAAAAGUCCAUUUUUUCUUGUCCCCUAAGGUGAAAAUACACAUUGUUGAGUGUCACGCCUGUACGCUUUGUCAAAAUGACACAAAAAUUGACACACACAUGUAUCUCAAUAAGAUCUACAAAAAAGUCAAUGAGCGCGUAUCUGUCAAAUGUACGGUUAAAGGGUUAUUCCGCAUUUUUUGCCGAUUCGCACACAUUGGAAUUUCGCUAACUCCUCCGAAGGCUUUCGUUCCACCGGCACCACUUUUGCUCAGGCCAAAUUACACCCCAUGGCCAUUAAAAGUUAUUCAAAUCAUGACGCUGCACCCCACGGUUUACGUUCUAGGGGGCGCCAAAGAUAACCCAAAAAUCCACAUUUUUAAAAGUCUUAUAACUUUUUAUUUUUGUCCUCACUGGCCUCCAAGUUUUCUAGGAUGAUGCAAUGUCCAGCCAUCAACACAUUUGUGAAGGAAUUUUUACUCCCUAAAAGAGCGCCCCCCCAUGGCAGGAGAAAAAAGUCCAUUUUUUCUUGUCCCCUAAGGUGAAAAUACACAUUGUUGACUGUCACGCCUGUACGCUUUGGCAAAAUGACACAAAAAUUGACAAUCAUGUGUAUCUCAAUUAGAUCUACGAAAAAGUCAAAGAGCGCGUAUCUGUCAAAUGUACGGUAAAAGGGCUAUUUUGCAUUUUUUGCCGAUUCGCACACAUUGGAAUUUCGCUAACUCCUCCUAAGGCUUUCGUCCCACUGACACCAAAUUUGCUCAGGCCAAUCUACACUCCAUGGCCAUUCAAAGUUGUAAAAAUCAUGACGCUGCACCCCACGGUUUACGUUUUAGGGGGCGCCAAAGAUGACCCAAAUAUACAUUACAGUAGACAAAGUAGUUUUGCCCACUGAGUGGCGCCAAAGGGACUUGUCUGUGGAGUCUGUGAGUCACUAUUGGCCGUUUUUGACUACUUUAGAUUUUACCUUUAUAUUUCCUCUUACAAAAUUUUUACCUUGCCUUGCCUGGUAUCAUUUUUUUCAGCACAACCUCACCUGUGUCAAUUUACAGUUAUUUUAUCAUUUUGACAUACUAUAUUUACACAUUGGACCCAAAUUCACACACAAAACAUAAAAUCCGAGUGGAAAAAAGUAACGUUUUUACUGUGAAAACCACAAAUAUGUGUGAUGAACUGUUUUUAAAACUUAAACUUCAAAUAAAAAUUGUAAACUUCAAAACAUAUGCAAAUUUUUAACAAAGAACAUAGUAAUUUACCUCUAUUUACAUCAAAAUGCAGGCAAUGGCCCAGGCGUUCUUUGUAAAAUUAUUUACAAAACACUGUAUAGUCUCACAAAUGUCACUUUUUAUUUAUGCCACUACAAAAAAACAUGAUGUAAAUGAUGCAUGAUGUAAAACAUGAUGUAAAAAACUUGUGUAGAUCCUCCUCUAUGUUAGUCCAUGUGUAAUUUUUCCAUAAUUCUUUGUUUUUUGCAGCAUUUUUGUUAGUGUAACUGCAGAUUGUGCUGACAGUGUCUAUGGCAAAAAAAAAAAAAAAACUGAAAAUGCCUCAACAUGAACCCCUGGUGGUCUCUGAGGGUGAAACCUGCUAACUGCUGCAGCUCUGUCAGCUUCAGUCUCCCAUGCAGAGCUCGGAGCGCAUGUGUGGCUCUGCACCCUAAGCAGCGUUGCUAACUCCUCAGUAAGGAAAGCCUGCUUCAUGUCAGAGUCUCUAAACUCCAGAAGAAGUCGAUAAAAGUCACUUUCUCUCUAAAAAAAAGUCGUUAGGGGGUCUGAAAAGUCAUUGAAUCUAACAACAAAGUCGCUAGGUUUGCAACUACGUGUCCCAGACUGCAUCCCUGCUGAGAGUCCCUCCCUCCCUUCUCAUAUUGCAGGAAGAACGUAAGCGCCCGCCCCUUGUCAAUCAGUCACCAUAUAAUUUUGGAUUGGUUGUUGUGGUGAAGUUUUCCACCAAUAGGAGAGAUGUUGUGGUGUGUUUUUUUUUUCCUUUGGCAAGCCUUUUCCGCCUGUAAGACCUGUCGCUAAUGUCUGCAUGCUAUGUUUUCCUGUCUCAUACAGCGCGAUCGAGCGCCGAACGUGAUCAAAAUAAGCAGAAAACAAGUAUCGCGGACAUAAUUUAUCAUAACUCUGGUUUUAUUUGGCCUAUCAACACAAUUUAAAAACUGGUAUAUAGGUUGAGGUCCUCACUUUUGAGAUAAGUUGAAACGGAGAGUCAACGAGGCUCCGUCUUGCAGCUACAUCCGGUUAAAUAUGUCAUGUGACUUGAACGCACACACACACACACACACACAGACACGCACACACACACACGCACACACACACACUCAGAGUCUGGUUUUUAGCACCUGCAAAAACAUGCUAUUUACAUAUUUGACAAGAAUGCAGAGGCUCCUUUUGCCCCUGAAAAAAAUCAAAUUUCAAACACAACUUGACUGGUCAUUUCUCCAAAAGACAACCAUGAAGCUCCAUCCAAACCUGAAGCAGGCAGUUGGUGCAUGUGUACAGUAACCUGAGGGGAGUGAGGUGACUGCUUCUGAGGAGAACAUGAGCAGUGAAGAUUCACCUUAGAGCUAGAACAGAGACGUGCACAUGAUUAUACAGGGGCAGGGGCUCAAGUUUUUUCCAGUUGUUUAUACAAUAUGGAAAUUAAUGUGAAAUUAAAAAACAAAGUAUUAAUAGAAAGGUAAUGACUGUCCUGUGUAGGUGACAGUGAUAUCCAAUAGGCUAGGCACUCACGAGGCUGGCUGUGGCAAGUGUAAGUGAAAGCAACACGCACUGGCAGGAAGAACAGCAAACGCAGAUGAAGGAAAAGGGUCUUUGCAGUGAUGGGCGUUACCAGAGAGGGCGAUGGCCAGAGGACACAAAUGGGACGGGGAGGCAGCGCGUUGGGGGGGGACGCGACACAGCUCGGGCCCGCCAGUGCCCCAACGGGGUCCUAGUUUUUCUUUUUCCUCCCCUUUGAACUGGAAAAUGGCCCACUUCCCACUGGCGAAAACUCAUGAAAUUUGGCAGGAUGACCGGGCCUGGUGAAAAAUUCGAUAUUCUGAAGUCGCCCAAACAAUAAAAUGCAAAAUGGCUCCAUAGCGCCCCCUAAGGUGGAAAUUCACACUAUUGACUGUCACGCCUGUACGCUUUGUCAUAUUGACACAAAAAUUGACACACAUAUGUAUCUCAAUAAGAUCUACAAAAAAGUCAGUGCGGCCGUAUCUGUCAAAAUUACGGUUAAAGGGUUAUUUCGCAUUUUUUGCCGAUCUGCACACAUUGGAAUUUCGCUAACUCCUCCGAAGGCUUUCGUUCCACCGGCACCACAUUUGCUCAGGCCAAUCUACACCCCGUGGCCAUUAAAAGUUAUCAAAAUCAUGACGCUGCACCCCAAGGUUUAGGUUCUAGGGGGCGCCAAAGAUAACACUAAAAUCCACAUAUUUAAAAGUCUUAUAACUUUUUAUUUUUGUCCUCACUGGCCUCCAAGUUUUCUAGGAUGAUGCAAUGUCCAGCCAUCAACACAUUUGUGAAGGAAUUUUUACUCCCCAAAAGAGCGCCCCCCAUGGCAGGAGAAAAAAGUCCAUUUUUUCUUGUCCCCUAAGGUGAAAAUACACAUUGUUGAGUGUCACGCCUAUACGCUUUGUCAAAAUGACACAAAAAUUGACACACACAUGUAACUCAAUAAGAUCUACGAAAAAGUCAAUGCGCGCGUAUCUGUCAAAUGUACGGUUAAAGGGUUAUUUCGCAUUUUUUGCCGAUCCGCACACAUUGGAAUUUCGCUAACUCCUCCGAAGGCUUUCGUUCCACCGGCACCACAUUUGCUCAGGCCAAUCUACACCCCGUGGCCAUUAAAAGUUAUCAAAAUCAUGACGCUGCACCCCACGGUUUACGUUCUAGGGGGCGCCAAAGAUAACCCUAAAAUCCACAUAUUUAAAAGUCUUAUAACUUUUUAUUUUUGUCCUCACUGGCCUCCAAGUUUUCUAGGAUGAUGCAAUGUCCAGCCAUCAACACAUUUGUGAAGGAAUUUUUACUCCCCAAAAGAGCGCCCCCCCAUGGCAGGAGAAAAAAGUCCAUUUUUUCUUGUCCCCUAAGGUGAAAAUACAUAUUGUUGAGAUUCACGCCUAUACGCUUUGUCAUAUUGACACAAAAUUUGACAAUCACAUGUAUCUCAAUCAGAUCUACGAAAAAGUCUAUGCGCGCGUAUCUGUAAAAUGUACGGUUAAAGGGCUAUUUUGCAUUUUUUGCCGAUUCGCACACAUUGGAAUGUGGCUAACUCCUCCUAAGGCUUUCGUCCCACUGACACCAAAUUUGCUCAGGCCAAUCUACACCCCAUGGCCAUUCAAAGUUGUAAAAAUCAUGACGCUGCACCCCACGGUUUACGUUCUAGGGGGCGCCAAAGAUGACCCAAAUAUCCACAUUCUUAAAAGAAUCCACAUCCCCCCCCAUCCCCCAUCCCCCAUGGCAGGAGAAACAGUCAAGUUUUUCCUGCCCAUCACUCAAUGGCUCAUUCGCAUCACUCUCCCGGCAACACCGUAACGAGGAGCAACUUGCCGUUUGGAUAUAUCCUAGCUGUGUUUGUGCCCUCACUCAUGGUCCAGACUUUUUUCAAAAAGGACAUGUAGUUUGUCUGCAGCGAGUGUUUUGGUAGAAACUGCGCCUCCCAUUCAUUAUAAUGGGAAAUGACCA
rnacentral:lncRNA from 1 species